rnacentral:rRNA from 1 species
UACGUAGGGUGCAAGCGUUGUCCGGAAUUAUUGGGCGUAAAGAGCUUGUAGGCGGUUUGUCGCGUCUGCUGUGAAAUUUCGGGGCUCAACCCCGAACUUGCAGUGGGUACGGGCAGACUAGAGUGUGGUAGGGGAGACUGGAAUUCCUGGUGUAGCGGUGAAAUGCGCAGAUAUCAGGAGGAACACCGGUGGCGAAGGCGGGUCUCUGGGCCGAUACUGACGCUGAGGAGCGAAAGCGUGGGGGAGCGAACAGG